CGCGGUCAUAAUUAGUUGCUCCAAGAACUCGUUCGUUACCCCCCUAAUCCCUACACCGCCUCAUCCUCUGUAGAUCGCCUUGAACCUCGGUGGCUGGUGGCUAGCGGCACAGUGAUCACUGAUCUGAUGUUAAUUGACGGCCGAAUGAUAGAUGGAAAGAAGAUAUUGCUGAAAAAUAUCGAAUGCAUAUGACAAUAAGCCAGGCAGUGACUCUGGCAAACUCACGAAGAGCAUGGAAUAUGAAACAUUUGGGUUGGGUACCUGCUCCAUCUGUCUCACCUGAACAUCAUAGUUAUGUCUCAAGUCAUCAUGUGUUGAAGCAUCAUAGACAUUUGCCUUCUGCUCGCACACCAACCCCAAUUACUCCACCACAAACACAGGGUUCUAAAUCUUGGUUUCACUGACCUGGUUUGGCUCAUUUUUUUUGGCCAAAACUAAGAAUUUAGCUGACUUUGUCGGUGAUGAUCAUUAUUGCUUAAUGUCGAUCACCAUGAUUAACUUUUGUUCACAUGACUUGUUGAUCUAUUUAUUUCUUCCUCUUGAACUUGAAACAGGUUGUGAAAUAUCCUGUUCUGAUCCACUCACUUCAACCCCAAUUGGUUCACCCUGUGGAUGUGUAUACCCUGUGCAAGUUGGAAUUGAUCUUGGUGUAGCACCCACCAUAUAAGUGAUUCUCUAGAAUUGCUGAGCUUGAAGUUGACGUUGUGUCUGCCACAUUUCUGAAACAAAGUCAAGCGAGAAUAAUGGGUGCCAGUGCUAGCAUGAAGGACAACAGUUAUUGUUGACUUGGUGCCUCCAGGUGAGAAAUUCGAUAACAUGAUUGCACUUCUGACUUACGAAACAUUUUGUCCAAAGAAGGUGCCGAUCAACAUGUCGCUUUUUGGUGAUUAUGAUGUGUUGUACGUUCGUCAUUCCUGGUAAUAUCGUAUUACCUACCUCUUUUGCUUAAGUUCGUCAUAUUAACAUGCUUAUACUUUUGCUUAGAAUCCAGGGACAACAAACAGUACUUCCUUCGCCACUGCCUUCAUUUGAUGAAAUCAUUGGGUCCAAGUGGGAUUGGGAGUCAUCACUAUCCUCUCACAGCAAAUAUUUCAAAUCACAAGUCACAGAAUCUACUCCUUUUCGUAUUAUCACUCGACCACCUCCUUUUAUAUAUCAUAGACUUUUUAUAUUUUCACUGGACCACUUUUUAUAUAUCAGACUGUCAUUCUAUCCUCCUGAUUAUAUUAUCACUAGACCAUACAAGAAUCUACUCCAUAUG